UACAUGUGGGGCAAGCGUUGUUCGGAAUUACUGGGCAUAAAGGGUGCGUAGGCGGCUUGUUAAGUCACUGGUGAAAGUUUUCGGCCCAACCGGAAAAUUGCCUGUGAUACUGGCGAGCUUGAGUGCUUGAGGGGUGGGGGGAACGAGCAGUGUAGCGGUGAAAUGCGUAGAUAUUGCUCGGAAGGCCGGAGCCGAAGGGGCCCCACUGGUACGCAACUGACGCUGAGGCACGAAAGCGUGGGGAGCAAACAGG
rnacentral:rRNA from 1 species